rnacentral:rRNA from 1 species
GUGGUCGGUGUACAGGUGGUGCAUGGUUGUCGUCAGCUCGUGUCGUGAGAUGUUGGGUUAAGUCCCGCAACGAGCGCAACCCUCGUCCUAUGUUGCCAGCGGGUCAUGCCGGGGACUCAUGGGAGACUGCCGGGGUCAACUCGGAGGAAGGUGGGAUGACGUCAAGUCAUCAUGGCCCUUACGGUUUGGGCUACACACGUGCUACAAUGGCGGUGACAGUGGGCAGCCACUCAGUAAUGAGGAGCUAAUCCCAAAAAGCCGUCUCAGUUCGGAUUGAGCUCUGCAACUCGAGCUCAUGAAGUCGGAAUCGCUAGUAAUCGCGGAUCAGCACGCCGCGGUGAAUACGUUCCCGGGCCUU